rnacentral:rRNA from 1 species
UACGUAGGCAGCAAGCGUUGUUCGGAGUUACUGGGCGUAAAGGGUGUGUAGGCGGUUCUCUAAGUCUGGUGUGAAAUCUCCCGGCUCAACUGGGAGGGUGCGCCGAAAACUGGAGGACUAGAGUGCGGGAUGGGAGAGUGGAAUUCCUGGUGUAGCGGUGAAAUGCGUAGAUAUCAGGAGGAACACCUGUGGUGUAGACGGCUCUCUGGACCGCAACUGACGCUGAGACACGAAAAGCGUGGGUAGCAAACAGG